AUAAAUAAACCAGUUUUAGCAUGAUUCACGCAUCAUGAAUGCCAUGAGAUAUAGUAGGGUGUUUGCAUUAGACUCACGAAUAUGUUGCAUUGCAUAAUAUGUUUGAUGAUGUGGAUGAAUGUUGAAUGAUCCUUUAGUCCCCAUAUGUUAUGAUGAUGAUGAUACGGUACGGAAGACCAGUGAGGCCCAUUCUACGCCCCUGGCACCAUGUAAGAGAAAGACC
rnacentral:lncRNA from 1 species